rnacentral:rRNA from 1 species
ACUUCGGUUGAUCCUGCCGAAGGCUACUGCUAUUGGAGUUCGAUUAAGCCAUGCGAGUCUAAGGGGUACUUGUACCCCUGGCAUAAUGCUCAGUAACACGUGGAUAAUCUACCCUCAGGUGGGGCAUAAACCCGGGAAACUGGGGCCAAUUCCCCAUAGACGCAGAUGG